UACGAAGGGGGGCUAGCGUUGCUCGGAAUCACUGGGCGUAAAGCGCACGUAGGCGGGUCGUUAAGUCAGGGGUGAAAUCCUGGAGCUCAACUCCAGAACUGCCCUUGAUACUGGCGAUCUCGAGUUCGGGAGAGGUGAGUGGAACUGCGAGUGUAGAGGUGAAAUUCGUAGAUAUUCGCAAGAACACCAGUGGCGAAGGCGGCUCACUGGCCCGGUACUGACGCUGAGGUGCGAAAGCGUGGGGAGCAAACAGG
rnacentral:rRNA from 1 species